rnacentral:lncRNA from 1 species
AUGAGCAGGAAGAUAAUUUUGAAUAGAAUGGGAGGUAGGUUUAAUAGAAUGGGAGGCAGGUUUAAUAGAAUGGGAGGCAGGUUUAAUAGAAUGGGAGGCAGGUUGAACAGAAUGGGAGGCAGGUUGAACAGAAUGGGAGGCAGGUUGAACAGAAUGGGAGGCAGGUUGAACAGAAUGGGAGGCAGGUUUAAUAGAAUGGGAGGCAGGUUGAACAGAGUGGGAGGCAGGUUGAAUAGAAUGGGAAGCAGGUUGGCCCUAAGCAGUUUCCAGCUGGAGUUUUCCUUUUAGCUGAGUGAGUUUUGGGGGUCCAAGAUAUUUUUCUUUCACAGGGAGCAAACAUGAAAUGGUUUCUUCUUCCAAAAACUGCUAAUAGUCUCUCAGUCCAAUUCCAUAGCUUUUUAGCAGCUUUCCUUUGUUAAAGAAUCUCCUUCUUUUUCCUGAUGCCCCACUCACUAGCAUGGGACAUGGGGUCAGGCUCAGCCUCUCUAUCACCCGCAUCAAAGGCAACGUCUUUAUCUUUUGAGACCUAUCUUUUGAGACCAUUUCACUCAACAAGUGGCCCUCUAAUGAGAGGCAGGACCUAAACCACCUUUGCAAAAUUACAACUGAGGAAAUUAUAUCAGUGAAAGAGAUCAGACCUAAUGGACCUGUCUUCCUUCUAGCCUCUAAACCGUCUUCGUUCAUUCCCCUGUGUAGGCUGAGCUAGCCUUGGAAAGGAAUUUAGUUUAUAGUUUAAACUCUGAAACAAAAUGGAUAAUAGCUCUUUCCCUGAAAAACCCCUUUUUGCCUGGGGACCAGUCUGCCUUUGUAGGACUAACAAAUUAGCUGCAAGAUGAUAUAUCAGAAAAACUCCUUCUCACCUGGGGACCAGUCUGACUUUGUAGGACUAACAAAUUAGCUACAGUUAGCUAUCAUGGUUUAGGGACCAUGCAGCCUCUGGCUACAAGAGUCUGGACCUCUCCCAAUUGCUCCUGGGAAUAACAUCACUAUAGAAAAAUCUAAGAUUGGUGCUUGAAAUAUUUUGCAGACCCUAUAUUCUGGUGCAGCAGAUGACACCACCCAGACUGAUAAUCUGGCUCAAUCAGUUCUGUGAUCACACCCAGAACAGAAGUCAGCAAGAAUUCACUUUGACCCCCUGUGAUUUCAUCUUCAACCUGACCAGUCAGCACUCCCCACUUUCUGAGCCCAUACCCGUCAAAUUAUCCUUAAAACCUCUGAUCUCAAAUGCCGGGGAAACUGAUUUCAGUAACAACAAAACUCCAGUCUCUGCAUGAAUUACUUUUUCUCCAUUGCAAUUCCCAUCUUGAUAAAUCAGCUCUGUCUAGGCAGCAGGCAGGGUGAACCCAUUGGAUGGUUACAGGACAUGUCAACUAAAUGGUCUAAGUCCAGGCACUUCCACAGUGACCCUAGCAGAAACUAACAGAUC